GACGAGCCUCGCCGCGCGCUUCGUCAACUCUCGGUCCGAGCUUUUGGGUGUUGGUCCGACGAGCCGCGGAAGAGCUCUGAGA
rnacentral:sRNA from 1 species